UACAGAGGUCCCAAGCGUUGUUCGGAUUCAUUGGGCGUAAAGGGUGCGUAGGCGGCGCGGUAAGUCGGGUGUGAAAUCUCGGGGCUUAACUCCGAAACUGCAUUCGAUACUGCCGUGCUUGAGGACUGGAGAGGAGACUGGAAUUUACGGUGUAGCGGUGAAAUGCGUAGAUAUCGGGAGGAACACCAGAGGCGAAGGCGGCUUCCUGGACCGGUCCUGACGCUGAGGUGCGAAAGCGUGGGGAGCAAACAGG
rnacentral:rRNA from 1 species